rnacentral:rRNA from 1 species
UACGUAGGGUGCGAGCGUUAAUCGGAAUUACUGGGCGUAAAGCGUGCGCAGGCGGUCCGCAAAGUCUGAUGUGAAAGCCCCGGGCUCAACCUGGGAACUGCAUUGGAAACUAACGGGCUCGAGUGUGGCAGAGGGGGGUGGAAUCCACGUGUAGCAGUGAAAUGCGUAGAGAUGUGGAGGAACACCGAUGGCGAAGGCAGCCCCCUGGGCUAACACUGACGCUCAGGCACGAAAGCGUGGGGAGCAAACAGG